UACAGAGGGGGCAAGCGUUGUUCGGAAUUACUGGGCGUAAAGGGCGCGUAGGCGGUCUUUUAAGUCUUGUGUGAAAUCCCUCGGCUCAACUGAGGAACUGCACGGGAUACUGGAAGACUUGAGUUCGGGAGAGGGAAGCGGAAUUCCGGGUGUAGCGGUGAAAUGCGUAGAUAUCCGGAGGAACACCGGUGGCGAAGGCGGCUUCCUGGACCGAUUACUGACGCUGAGGCGCGAAAGCUAGGGGAGCAAACGGG
rnacentral:rRNA from 1 species